UACAGAGGGGGCAAGCGUUAUUCGGAAUUAUUGGGCGUAAAGGGCGCGUAGGCGGCCAUUCAAGUGACGGGUGAAAGCCCUCGGCUUAACCGAGGAACUGCCUGUCAGACUGGAUGGCUUGAGACCGGGAGAGGUGAGUGGAAUUCCCAGUGUAGCGGUGAAAUGCGUAGAGAUCCGGAGGAACACCAGAGGCGCAGGCGGCUUGCUGGGUCUGUAUUGACGCUCAGACACGAAAGCAUGAGGAGCGAACGGG
rnacentral:rRNA from 1 species